UACGGAGGAUCCGAGCGUUAUCCGGAUUUAUUGGGUUUAAAGGGUGCGUAGGCGGCCUGUUAAGUCAGGGGUGAAAGACGGUAGCUCAACUAUCGCAGUGCCCUUGAUACUGAUGGGCUUGAAUAUACUAGAGGUAGGCGGAAUGUGACAAGUAGCGGUGAAAUGCAUAGAUAUGUCACAGAACACCAAUUGCGAAGGCAGCUUACUAUGGUAUGAUUGACGCUGAGGCACGAAAGCGUGGGGAGCAAACAGG
rnacentral:rRNA from 1 species